UUUUGCGCGUCUCACGGCACGAGCAUGUGAGAAUGCGCGAGCGUUCGAAUAGAUCUCGUUCGUUCAUGCCAUGAGUUUUUACAAUCGUCCGCAACUACCCAAAAUCAAAAUGGCCGUCCUCCACACGGCGGCUCGAAUGCGGCGCACGGUGUUCUUCUGAACAACUAACAAGUACCGGUUCGCCGUGCCACCUAUUCGGCGAUCGCAGACGAAAGGAUCCGAAUGCUCGCGUACUCACGUCUACACACAACGUAGUUAGUUUUUUUUAAUUGUGUUUACUAUAACCAGAGCGCUCUUGCCGUCAUCCGCGUGGUACCGAAAACUGAAAAAAAGUUUCACUGCGGUAUCUUUAAUUUUUGGCGCUUCGGGCUCGACGUUAUCACGCGACCGCUUAUCAAAACAAUAUUAUUAUUAUAAUCGUGAUUUUUCAAUAAUUUUCGACUUUUCACACGAUUUUAAAAGUUUUCCCACAUUUUUUGACACCGUUUUGUUCGUAUUCAUGUAAAGCGUGUCUUUUAAAAGCCGUAUGUAUACGGUUUGUACGCCGAUCACGUACGUUACGGUCACAAUCGUGGUAACGAAUACGGCCAAUGAUCGACGGUUCUUCGGACGUUUUUCUCCUUUUUUUUUCUUUUCACAGUUCCAUUUCGUGUUUUUCACGUCCGAUCUGUCAAUAUUCGCGUAAUAUGUGUCGUUUAUAAGCCGCACGUGUGCCGUUUGUACACAAAUUCGAUUCGGAGCGUUUAAAAUCACGAUCACCGACCUAUGUACAAGACCUAUUCGUGUUGAACAAAAGUCGUGCAUGCUGUCGCAUCGUCUUAUGACCUAUUAUUAUAGUCUCCGUGGAGUGGUGAUGUUUGUUUCUAAGCCCAGUAUUUAUUUAUUUAUGUACACUACUGUUUUGGAUUCAAUAAAUUGCAUUAUAUUGUUUUGUUCUCGGUAGCUUAACCUUUACAUAUAUCUUCAACCAUGGGUUGCACUGUAUAGCAUAAAAGUGUUUCUCGACAAUGUUUGUAUCACACAGUACUGUAUACAUGUACUUGAGUGUAUAUUAUAAUAAAUAAUAACAUAUAUGUGAAUAUGAUAGGUUAAUUUAUUUAGGUGGAUUGUUGAGUUAAUAACAAAUAAUUUACAUUUAAUAUUUAU